GAUGAACGCUAGCGGCAGGCUUAAUACAUGCAAGUCGAGGGGCAGCAGCUUUAUAGCAAUAUAGAGGCUGGCGACCGGCAAACGGGUGCGGAACACGUACACAACCUUCCUUGAAUAGGGGGAUAGCCCAUAGAAAUGUGGAUUAAUACCCCGUAAUAUAGCGGUGUGGCAUCACACUGUUAUUAUAGUUUCGGCGAUUCGAGAUGGGUGUGCGGCUGAUUAGGUAGUUGGCGGGGUAAAGGCCCACCAAGCCUUCGAUCAGUAGCUGAUGUGAGAGCAUGAUCAGCCACACGGGCACUGAGACACGGGCCCGACUCCUACGGGAGGCAGCAGUAAGGAAUAUUGGUCAAUGGACGCAAGUCUGAACCAGCCAUGCCGCGUGAAGGAUGAAGGUCCUCUGGAUUGUAAACUUCUUUUAUAGGGGGCGAAAAAAGGUCUUUCUAGAUCACUUGACAGUACCCUAUGAAUAAGCACCGGCUAACUCC
rnacentral:rRNA from 1 species